GUGGUCAUACCUGCGAUAAAUUCAAACAAAAACUUAAAAAGAACGAAAUACAAAAGCCCGCCAAAAAUAAACGUCAAAAAAUUCAAGAUGGCCGCCGGCGCCGCAUCGACCUCGGUUAGCCAGGAAGUGCAUGUAAUACCAAUGAACUUUUCAAUGUUACCCACUUCUCUUGUUGCUCCUGGUUGCUUGAAAUAUGUACUUUUUGAAUAAAUAUAAUUGUUGGCCUUUAAGA
rnacentral:misc_RNA from 1 species